CAUCAACAGUGGAUUCAUGAAAGAAAAUCUCUUAGUUGAUACAGAUCUAAGUACGUAUAUUUAAAGCAUUGAUGUACAGGGAUUAAAAGUAUCGUAGAAAAGCAUUGUUUUCCCAACCCAGCCAUAGAACAAGUCACUUGUCGGAGUUUGAAAAAUGCUUUUCGCUACUCUGAUUCUGAGUGUGUUUUUUAUCGUUACAGAAAGCGAAACCGAUCAGAACUCUCUUGAAUUUCAAAGAGCAAAUGGAAUCAACACUACAAUAGAUGGCUACCUACCCCGGUGUCCAGGGUGUGUGGUGUUUGGGAGGGAUCCACUGAUAGUCUAUGGCAAGUUUUAUCUACCAAAGGACAAGUGGCACAUAAUAACGCCAGAUCCCGCGUACAAACGACCUCAACCAUCUUUUGAAGUCUCAUUUUGCGAUUCCGGCUGCGAAGACUAUGCCAAUUGGAAAAAAUGG